rnacentral:rRNA from 1 species
UACGAAGGGGGCUAGCGUUGUUCGGAGUUACUGGGCGUAAAGGGCGCGUAGGCGGCCCUCCAAGUCGGGUGUGAAAGCCCACGGCUCAACCGUGGAAUUGCACUCGAGACUGAAGGGCUCGAGGACGGGAGAGGAUGGUGGAAUUCCCAGUGUAGAGGUGAAAUUCGUAGAUAUCGGGAGGAACACCUGUGGCGAAGGCGGCCAUCUGGACAACUACUGACACUGAGACGCGAAAGCGUGGGUAGCAAACAGG